AUGCAAGUCGAGGGGCAGCGGGGAGUAGCAAUACUUCGCCGGCGACCGGCGCACGGGUGAGUAACACGUGUGCAACCAACCCCGUACCGGGAGAUAACCCGCGGAAACGUGGACUAACAUCCCAUAAGACUCUAGAGCCGCAUGGCUCUGGAUUUAAAAUUCCGGUGGUACGGGACGGGCACGCGCGACAUUAGGUAGUUGGCGGGGUAACGGCCCACCAAGCCGACGAUGUCUAGGGGUUCUGAGAGGAAGGUCCCCCACACUGGAACUGAGACACGGUCCAGACUCCUACGGGAGGCAGCAGUGAGGAAUAUUGGUCAAUGGGCGAGAGCCUGAACCAGCCAAGUCGCGUGAGGGAAGAAUGGUCUAUGGCCUGUAAACCUCUUUUGUCAAGGAAGAAUAAAAGGUACGUGUACCUUCUUGCCAGUACUUGACGAAUAAGCAUCGGCUAACUCCGUGCCAGCAGCCGCGGUAAUACGGGGGAUGCGAGCGUUAUCCGGAUUUAUUGGGUUUAAAGGGCGCGUAGGCGGGACGCCAAGUCAGCGGUAAAAGACUGCAGCUAAACUGUAGCACGCCGUUGAAACUGGCGACC
rnacentral:rRNA from 1 species